rnacentral:lncRNA from 1 species
AGAGCUUUAUGGUUGUACAAAGUAAUUGGGUUCAUGCAUGGAUCUUUCAGUUCAUAAUUUCCCUUUUCCUUCCUGUCCUCCCCGCUUUCUUCUUCCUCUACUAGACUUCCUUUUGCUGAUCUAUUAAUUUAUAUGUGAUCAGUUUCUUAUGUAAUCUUAUCCUUACCUCCAUUUUAUUUUAUUCUAGCUUCUGUAUAUGAGAGAAAACAUUCAACCUUUGAGUUUUUGAGUUUGAGUAAUUUCACAUAGCAUGAUAUUCUCCAUUUUCACACCUUUUACUGGCAAAUGCCAUAAUUUCAUUCUUUUUAAUGGCUGAGUAGCACUCCAUUGAACGUAUAUACAACAAUUUCUUAAUUCAUUCCAAGGCAUCUCGGUUGAUUCCAUAAUUUAGCUAUUGUGAAUUGUACUGCUAUAAACAUUGAUGUGGCUGUGUUGCUGUAGUAUGACGAUUUUAGAUCUUUGGGGAAAAUACCAAGGAGUGGGAGAGCUGGAUCAAAUGGUGGUUCCAUCCCUAGUUUUUUUGAGGAAUCUCCAAACUGCAUUCCAGAGUGGUUGUACUAAGUCUGCAGUUAGAACAUCUAAUUUUGAACUGAGGACUUUUUGUAACUUUUUUAAUGGUCAUUGAUAUUUAAAAACAUAGUUUGCAAUGAUACUUUUGACCAAUAGGUGUCACCAUCUAAUUACCUAGAAAUUCCUCAAAUUUGGGACUUCUAGUUUUGCAAAGACUUGGAGCCUUCUGAUUUUGUAAAGAAUAACCUAUCUUAUCUAUUCUGCAUGUCUAAAAUUUGAAUUAUUCUAUUUAAAAAGAGAAAUCCUUAUACAUUGCUAAUGACUUCUUUGUUUUCUCCUCAUGCUAUUAAUCAUUAUUAUUAGAUGCCACUACUUGGGCUGUGAAACUAUAUUAUGUUUUAAAUAGAAAAUGAAUUUGCAGUAACUAGACUGUCUAACAGUUACACAUCAUUUUUUCCCAUUUUUUAAAUCACAACAUCCUGGGAAAGAAUGUCACAGUGCAGUCUAGUAUCUUGAGAGAAAGAUUCCUAAUGUAAGGCAAGUGGCAGCAGAAAACAUACGGUGAGGUCAAAUUUUUCUUCACCAGCAAAGAAGUCAGAAAUCUUAGCCAGAAAGCACUGUGUUUAGUCUAAUAUGGUUUCAUUUUGUUUCUAUUGUCAAGCAAUUAUUUAGUGCUUAUUGUCCCAUAAAAAAAGAAACCAUGUCUCUGAAAUAUGAAAGCAAACAGUCAAUAAGGGUUAGCUGUUGAGCUUUAGACAUGUUUGUAAUGUAUUGUGGCUUCACAGAAGAAUUAAAAACAUGUAAUAUGUGAACUAUAGAAAAAUGCAUCAAAAAAUGAACCAGUUAAGGUCUAGGGUUGUAGCUCAGUGGCAGAGCACUUGCCUAGCUUGUGUGAGGCACUGGAUUUGAUCCUUAGCACCACAUAAAAAUAAAUGAAUGAAAUAAAGGCAUUCUGUCCAUCUACAACUACAAAAAAAAUUUUGUUAACUGAACCAGUUAAAUUUUUUCAUGUUACUGUGCAGCAUUUAGAACAGGACAUGGCAAAAUUCAAAGUGGCUUCUGAAUCAUAAAGGAAAAUUCAAAAUUUAUAAUUAUUUUAAUAUUGUUCUGAUUGGAAAAAUAAGCCUCAGAGUAAUAUACACAUUAAUUGAACUUUAAGGACAAGUUAAAUAAGCAACAGAACUUAUACAAACAGUUUGUAGCUUUGUAGGCACGAAAGAAAAAGGUAUUAAACUAUAGCUGCUUUUUAGUCCUCCCCUUUAGUUUUUAAAUGAAAAAAUUCAAAAGCAUGAGUUAAUGCCCUGGAGAGACUUUAAGAGGUCUGUCCAAGGUUGCAUUAGAAUCCAGGUUCCUGGGUCUUUGUGAACUACUUCUCUUUUAAUUAGCAAUUUCUGAUAAUUCAGCUAGGCUUUUAAAUUAAUAUUUUAUUUUCUACUAAAAAAAGAAUUUUCAAGUACAGUGUAGGCUUUUAUAAUAUUACCAAUUUGCAUUACAUGAUCACUAUUUUUAAUGCAAUCUUAAUUAGAAACCGCAGCUCUACUUCAUUCAGUGCAUCA